UACGUAGGGAGCAAGCGUUGUCCGGAAUCAUUGGGCGUAAAGGGCGCGUAGGCGGCUUUGUGCGUCACCCGUGAAAGCCCCCGGCUCAACCGGGGAGGGUCGGGUGAAACGGCGGAGCUGGAGGCAGCGAGAGGCUGGUGGAAUUCCCGGAGUAGUGGUGAAAUGCGUAGAGAUCGGGAGGAACACCGGUGGCGAAGGCGGCCAGCUGGCGCUGACCUGACGCUGAGGCGCGAAGGCGUGGGGAGCAAACAGG
rnacentral:rRNA from 1 species